UACAGAGGUCCCAAGCGUUGUUCGGAAUCACUGGGCGUAAAGGGUGCGUAGGCGGGUCUUUAAGUCAGGGGUGAAAUCCUGGAGCUCAACUCCAGAACUGCCUUUGAUACUGAAGAUCUUGAGUUCGGGAGAGGAGAGUGGAAUUCCCAGUGUAGAGGUGAAAUUCGUAGAUAUUGGGAAGAACACCGGUGGCGAAGGCGGCUCUCUGGACCGACACUGACGCUGAGGCGCGAAAGCGUGGGGAGCAAACAGG
rnacentral:rRNA from 1 species